UUAAUCUUCCUGGUCCUAAGUUUCAUAAAUUUGGCAACUGCAUUUGCAUUGUCCCUUUAUGAAUUGCUCAACUUCGUCAAAAAUGGCCAAACUGACACUCCAGAUUUCACUCUUGCAAUUAUUCUCAUCAUCAAUAUAGUAUUCUGUGUACUCUACGUGUGCUACGGUCUGCUGAGAGAGAAAAAGUGGGAAUUGUAUGUUCUCAUUCUAGCUAUCGUUGUGGUUCUGCUUUAUUGCAAUGUGGAGUACUUUAUUAACAUAACCGGACGGUCAAACCUUAAACUGGCAAGACUAAUUCUUGUUUGGCUGCUUGGAGUUCCUCACAUUAUCUUUGCUGCGAUAGUAACUCGUCACUUUCGUUAUUUAGUUUUCCAAAGUGUAGGAGCUAUUGCUGAUUUACAAGAUGUGUAUGAAGACGCAUCCAUUUUCUCCUCUUUCUUGAGGUUUGAUAUUCAGGUGACAGUAAG